AGCCCAUUCAACUAACAUUCGAGAGAUGUUCGGAUGUUGCAACCGUUUAUCUUAAGCCUAUUCAUAGAUGUUAAUUGUAGUGUUGAAGAAAAUAUUACAAAAAGUUUUAUAAAGUGUUUUUCUAUUUUAUUCCAAGAGGAUGGUUUUUUACUAGGUUGUGGAAAAUCAAAUUGGAAAUGAAGAUGAAGAUUCAUAAAUUUUUCAGUGCAAAUAUACUAUCGAAGAUUAUUAAGGAUGACAGGAAAGGAAUCUACGAUCCAGUUGGCGUUAAGAAGGACGUGAGACCAAAAUUUCAACUGCACAGUGAAACGGAACGGAACGGACUACUUCACGGCAGACAGACAGAAAUAACCACCUGGUCCUGACGGACCUGACUCGUCCCAAGUUGGAUGGCGAAGUAGGCCCGGCCCGUCAAGGAGUCUGCUUGCUCCGUUUGGUCCUCGUCUACUCGCGUAAGCAAUAAAAACAUCGUUCUGUUCCGGAUAAAUAAAUAUAUAGAUGCC